CGAAAGCCUGAUCCAGCAACGCCGCGUGAGGGAUGACGGCCUUCGGGUUGUAAACCUCUUCAGCAGGGACGAAGCGCAAGUGACGGUACCUGCAGAAGAAGCACCGGCCAACUACGUGCCAGCAGCCGCGGUAAUACGUAGGGUGCGGGCGUUGUCCGGAAUUAUUGGGCGUAAAGGGCUCGUAGGCGGUUUGUCGCGUCGGGAGUGAAAACUCAGGGCUUAACCCUGAGCCUGCUUCCGAUACGGGCAGACUAGAGGUAUGCAGGGGAGAACGGAAUUCCUGGUGUAGCGGUGAAAUGCGCAGAUAUCAGGAGGAACACCGGUGGCGAAGGCGGUUCUCUGGGCAUUACCUGACGCUGAGGAGCGAAAGUGUGGGGAGCGAACAGGAUUAGAUACCCUGGUAGUCCACACCGUAAACGUUGGGCGCUAGGUGUGGGACUCAUUCCACGAGUUCCGUGCCGCAGCUAACGCAUUAAGCGCCCCGCCUGGGGAGUACGGCCGCAAGGCUA
rnacentral:rRNA from 1 species